UACGUAGGCAGCAAGCGUUGUUCGGAGUUACUGGGCGUAAAGGGUGCGUAGGCGGUUGUUUAAGUUUGGUGUGAAAUCUCCCGGCUCAACUGGGAGGGUGCGCCGAAUACUGAAUGACUAGAGUGCGGGAGAGGAGAGUGGAAUUCCUGGUGUAGCGGUGAAAUGCGUAGAUAUCGUGAGGAACACCAGAGGCGAAGGCGGCUACCUGGACAAUCGCUGACGCUCAGGCACGAAAGCGUGGGGAGCAAAAAGGG
rnacentral:rRNA from 1 species